rnacentral:rRNA from 1 species
AACGAACGCUGGCGGCAUGCCUAACACAUGCGAGUCGAACGAGAUCUUCGGGUCUAGUGGCGCACGGAUGCGUAACGCGUGGGAAUCUGCCCUUUGGUUCGGAAUAACAGUUGGAAACGACUGCUAAUACCGGAUGAUGACGAAAGUCCAAAGAUUUAUCGCCAGAGGAUGAGCCCGCGUAGGAUUAGCUAGUUGGUGUGGUAAAGGCGCACCAAGGUGACGAUCCUUAGCUGGUCUGAGAGGAUGAUCAGCCACACUGGGACUGAGACACGGCCCAGAAUCCUACGGGAGGCAGCAGUGGGGAAUAUUGGACAAUGGGCGAAAGCCUGAUCCAGCAAUGCCGCGUGAGUGAUGAAGGCCUUAGGGUUGUAAAGCUCUUUUACCCGGGAUGAUAAUGACAGUACCGGGAGAAUAAGCUCCGGCUAACUCCGUGCCAGCCGCCGCGGUAA